UACAGAGACUGCAAGCGUUAUUCGGAUUCACUGGGCGUAAAGGGUGCGCAGGCGGUUGGGUGUGUCAGAUGUGAAAUCCCGAGGCUCAACCUCGGAACUGCGUCUGAAACUACUCGACUAGAGUAUUGGAGAGGGUAACGGAAUUCACGGUGUAGCAGUGAAAUGCGUAGAUAUCGUGAGGAACACCAGAGGCGAAGGCGGUUACCUGGACAAUUACUGACGCUCAGGCACGAAAGCAUGGGGGGCAAAAGGG
rnacentral:rRNA from 1 species